AUUGAACGCUGGCGGCAUGCCUUACACAUGCAAGUCGAACGGCAACACGGGUGCUUGCACCUGGUGGCGAGUGGCGAACGGGUGAGUAAUAUAUCGGAACGUACCUUAUUGUGGGGGAUAACGCAGCGAAAGCUGUGCUAAUACCGCAUAAUCCCUAAGGGGGAAAGCGGGGGACCGUAAGGCCUCGCGCAAUUAGAGCGGCCGAUACCUGAUUAGCUAGUUGGUGAGGUAAAGGCUCACCAAGGCAACGAUCAGUAGCUGGUCUGAGAGGACGAUCAGCCACACUGGGACUGGGACACGGCCCAGACUCCUACGGGAGGCAGCAGUGGGGAAUUUUGGACAAUGGGGGCAACCCUGAUCCAGCAAUGCCGCGUGAGUGAAGAAGGCCUUCGGGUUGUAAAGCUCUUUUGUCAGGGAAGAAACAGCAGCUCUAACACAGUUUGCGAAUGACGGUACCUGAAGAAUAAGCACCGGCUAACUACGUGCCAGCCGCCGCAGUAA
rnacentral:rRNA from 1 species